CAGGGCGCCCAGGAGGGUGAGAGCCCCGUGGGAUGCCGGCGGAAGCAGUGAGGCCCUUCUGACGAGUCGAGUUGUUUGGGAAUGCAGCUCCAAGCGGGUGGUAAAUUCCAUCUAAGGCUAAAUACUGGCGAGAGACCGAUAGCGAACAAGUACUGUGAAGGAAAGAUGAAAAGCACUUUGAAAAGAGAGUGAAACAGCACGUGAAAUUGUUGAAAGGGAAGGGUAUUGCGCCCGACAUGGGGAUUGCGCACCGCUGCCUCUCGUGGGCGGCGCUCUGGGCUUUCCCUGGGCCAGCAUCGGUUCUUGCUGCAGGAGAAGGGGUUCUGGAACGUGGCUCUUCGGAGUGUUAUAGCCAGGGCCAGAUGCUGCGUGCGGGGACCGAGGACUGCGGCCGUGUAGGUCACGGAUGCUGGCAGAACGGCGCAACACCGCCCGUCUUGAAACACGGACC
rnacentral:rRNA from 1 species